AACGAACGCUGGCGGCAGGCUUAACACAUGCAAGUCGAACGCACCGCAAGGUGAGUGGCAGACGGGUGAGUAACGCGUGGGAAACUACCUUCUGGUUCGGAAUAACUUGAGGAAACUUGAGCUAAUACCGGAUAUUCCCGAGAGGGGAAAGAUUUAUCGCCGGAAGAUGUGCCCGCGUCGGAUUAGCUAGUUGGUGGGGUAAUGGCCUACCAAGGCGACGAUCCGUAGCUGAUCUGAGAGGAUGAUCAGCCACACUGGGACUGAGACACGGCCCAGACUCCUACGGGAGGCAGCAGUGGGGAAUAUUGGACAAUGGGCGCAAGCCUGAUCCAGCCAUGCCGCGUGAGUGAUGAAGGCCUUAGGGUUGUAAAGCUCUUUCGCCGGUGAAGAUAAUGACGGUAACCGGAGAAGAAGCCCCGGCUAACUUCGUGCCAGCCGCCGCAGUAA
rnacentral:rRNA from 1 species